GGGUGCGAUCAUACUAGCACUAAUGCACCGGAUCCCAUCAGAACUCCGCAGUUAAGCGUGCUUGGGCGAGAGCAGUACUAGGAUGGGUGACCUCUUGGGAAGUUCUCGUGUUGCACCCC
rnacentral:rRNA from 1 species